AUACGGAGGGUGCAAGCGUUACUCGGAAUCACUGGGCGUAAAGCGCGCGCAGGCGGGCUGAUAAGUUGGAUGUGAAAGCCUACGGCUCAACCGUAGAACUGCAUCCAAAACUGUCAGUCUAGAGUGUGGGAGAGGAAGAUGGAAUUAGUUGUGUAGGGGUAAAAUCCGUAGAGAUAACUAGGAAUACCAAAAGCGAAGGCAAUCUUCUGGAACACUACUGACGCUGAGGCGCGAAAGCGUGGGGAGCAAACAGGAUUAGAAACCCUAGUAGUCC
rnacentral:rRNA from 1 species